AGACAAAGUCUCUCCCGUCAGCAAAGGGCAGGUGGACACCCAGGAUGGAAAGGAGCCAUUUGAGAGGCACAAGCAUCAGCCUUCUCUGCCCUGCAGCCAGGGGCUGAUGGAGCUGGUGUUGGUAUACCAGGGGGCCACUCAGACUUCCUUCAUCCCCAGAACCAAAGGGACCAGAAACUUAGAAGAUGUCACAGUUUUAUCUACUACUGACCGGGCAGGCAGGGCUGCCUGGUAGUGAAAAAAUAUGGUACGUAACAGAGUCGAGACAGGCUUGUGUCGGACGGACGCAGACUCCCACCCUGCGCUGCACUGCCUGGCCACCUGAUCUCCCUCAACGAGCCUCAGUUUUUCACCUGUAAAGUGGGGAUAAUGCAUCCACAUCUCAGGAUCACUGCAAAGAGUGAGGACAUCACAUAUAAAAAACUGGCCCACAGAAGGCAUGGAGUAAAUGCCAGCUGUUACAGCAGCUUCUGAAGGAAGGCAGAGCCUGCCUAGCAGCCACCCCACUGGCAAACGUGUCAACAGGAAGAGUGAGAAGUGAGCAAUGCCUCCUGAGCUGAUGCCUACAGAGGAGCUGUGACAAUCUGCCUCUAGAACAAUCUCAGCAAGCUGCCUGGCACAGGGGAAAUCCAACCAUGACGACUUUGCCCAGACUCUGCAAGAUGCUUUCUAAUUGUUGGUGUUCACGAGGGACAAGCAACAGCUGAGCUCAUUCCCUUCCUAUCAAUUUGCAACAUCUGCCCCAGCCCUUACUGACAGUAGAGAACAAUAAGAACUUUCCGAGCACACCUUUAGGCCACCAAUCUUCAGUGACUUACUGGGCCCUUCCAGAAAUCAGAUUUUCUAACUGGUCCCUGCAUUGGCCCCAGUUGCUUUGGAGUGCGGAGGGAAGGAAGACACAGAACAGCUUGUAAUCGUAGAAGACAUGAUCAGAGCUGGAGUUUUGAAUGGGAAACUGCUGGCCACGUGCGAGGUGGCUAACAGAUGGAAAAUAACAGAGGCCAUGCGUCCAGUGUGGAGGAGAUGAGGGGUCCUGAGCCAAGGCAGUGGCAGUGAGGAAGGCAGACUGGGGAAUGGACUUUUAAAAAUGGAUUUGAAAAUAUCCACUGAGCACUUUCCCCCCGCCUCUGACCACUCCAUAUCCACUCCAAUCCCUCCCUCCAAAGCUUCACUCUGCAGCCAAGUGAUCAUUUCAAAGCAGAUCUCAUCACAUCUCCCCUGCUUACCAGCUCUCUGAAGGCUUCUGAAUUCCUUUGAGAUAAAAGUCCACAUUCUUUAGCAUGGUCUGAAGGCCCCAUGGGGUCUGGUCA